rnacentral:tRNA from 1 species
CUGGGUGCAGCUCAGCUUGGUAGAGCCUCUGCUUUUGGAGCAGAGGGUCGCAGGUCCGAAUCCUGUCACCCAGACCA